rnacentral:rRNA from 1 species
CAUCCUCCAAGGCUAAAUACUCCUGACUGACCGAUAGUGAACCAGUACCGUGAGGGAAAGGCGAAAAGAACCCCGGCGAGGGGAGUGAAAAAGAACCUGAAACCGUGUACGUACAAGCAGUGGGAGCCCCACCACCAAAGCGUUUCGCUUUGUGUGGUGCACAAAGAAGCGUAACGACAGCACUGAAUGACGGUUAACGGAGCGCAAGCGACGUUCAACAUACAAAGUCAAGCAGUGGAGCGCUUUGGGGUGGGGUGACUGCGUACCUUUUGUAUAAUGGGUCAGCGACUUAUAUUCUGUAGCAAGGUUAACCGAAUAGGGGAGCCGGAGGGAAACCGAGUCUUAAUUGGGCGUUAAGUUGCAGGGUAUAGACCCGAAACC